UACGGAGGGUGCAAGCAUUAAUCGGAUUUAUUGGGCGUAAAGGGCGCGUAGGCGGAAGAGAAAGUCAGAUGUGAAAUUUUGGGGCUCAACCUCAAAGCUGCAUUUGAAACUUCUCAUCUAGAGGGUAGGCGGAGAAAACGGAAUUCCACAAGUAGCGGUGAAAUGCGUAGAUAUGUGGAAGAACACCGGUGGCGAAGGCGGUUUUCUAGCUUAUUCCUGACGCUGAAGCGCGAAAGCAAGGGGAUCAAACAGG
rnacentral:rRNA from 1 species